UUGUUUAUUUUGGGCCCAGACGUGGAGCUAAGGUUGGGGCUGAGGAGCUGGAGCUCGGCCGCAGAGCGCUUGCUGUGUGCCUCUGCCCUGUGGGGAGCGGCGUUCAAGCUUCCCCACUGCCUCGCCGCACCACUUCCUCUUCCAGGCUCUUAUUUAAAAUAAAUUUUGGUGGUUUCAUAAGCCGUGGAUGUUGUUUUAAUGAUAGGGCUAGAGCUGGGUAGGCUCUAGGUCUGUGAGCGCUGGUGUUGCCUCAGCGCCUUUACCACAGGGUGCUGGAGGCCGCAGGCCACCACUGUCCUGGCCCUGCUGUCCUCAGACUCACACUCUGAGGGAUGGAGCUCCUGAGUGUUGAAGUGAGGUGGUUUGGGGUUGGGUUACAACACAGGAGCAUGACAAACAUAAUAAAUAGGAGAGAAAAUGCUGCCUUCCUCCUGAAGGAACCAAAGCAGACCUUUGUCAUCAUUUUCUAGCUCAUAGGGGUAAACGUAUUACUAAUUCGGGUGUAAUUACUCUUGCGUUUUCAUCUUAAAUGAGCUCAUUCUGAUCUAGCUGAAAGCAGUGACUCCCAACGUUUUCUGAGCCGCUGUUGUUUCUCCAGGCAGGUGCCAGGCCGUGUAUGGCAGCUGAGGGUGCCAGAGCUGGCCAUUAGGAGGCUGUGUGUGGAGCCAUCUCCAAAACCCACAUCCCAUGGGUUCGGUGUCCAGCUUUUUUCCAGAAGAGCACUUCAUGCUCAAGAGCUGAGUUGGUCUUUCCUGCUUAAGGGUUUGCUCCUGUGCAAGUUACUGUGCCUGUGCAAAGCUGUAGUUGGUCAGGUGGGACACUGUGGUGGGGUGCUACAAACAGGAGGAGCUAGAAUCUUUAUAACUACAGAACUUUUAGAAGAACGGACCUGCCAUACUUCCAGCUAUUUUUACUCUCCUGUUGGCUGCAGAAGAUUCAAGGCAAGAAGAUUCAAGAAGUUUGAAGGCAAGACUUAUUUUAACAUUUCUUUAUUUUUGAAUGUAGAAAAGGCUGUAUUUUACCUGCAGAUUUAGAACUGUCUGGGAGCUUUUAUUAGCCAGUUAUACGGAACGUGCCAGUGAUACAAAUGAUUUGGAGGAGGAGGUGGUAAUGCUUCUCUUAUGUUUGUCCAAGCUUUGUUUUCAGGUAAGUCCAGACUGGGAGGGAGGAAGUCAUUCCUGGUCUGGUUAAAUGUGUAUCUUCCUGCUCACGCUUUUCAGGAGGGGGGAAAAAUGUUCUGGUGUUUUGAACCUAUACAAGGGCUUGAGAACCAUUGUUUAUUCCCCGUGUUACUGAUUUUGCCUUCCUCCUUAGCAGUAGAAUAAAUUCAGGUUGACUGUGUGCCUUAUAUUAUUU
rnacentral:lncRNA from 1 species